UUAAUAAUGGAGAAGCCGCGGUGAGAAGCAACUUGUAGCAUUGUUCGUUUAAAUUUAUUAAAUAUGUAAGAACAAACAUCUUUAUAUUAAAAAAAUGUUUAAUAAAAGAAUGUGGAGUGUAAUUUAAAUGAGUUUAAAUUUGUAAAUGGAAAAGACUUGUAAAUUCUAUGUUGUGCGCGGCUGAGUGGAAUGUUUUUACGGUUUCCUCCAAAAUGUCGACUGAAGAGAUACGUGAACAAAAAUUUUGGCGCUAUAUGACUGCAUUCAAAAAAAUUGCGUUGUCUAAUUGCAGUCAAAGGAGCGCGGCAGCAUGGCGUCGAAUGAAAACUGUUAGUAGCAAAAUAUUUUGUUCAUUUUC